ACGCUCGACACCUACGGGAGACAGCAGUGGGGAAUAUUGCACAAUGGGGGAAACCCUGAUGCAGCGACGCCGCGUGGAGGAAGAAGGUCUUCGGAUUGUAAACUCCUGUUGUUGGGGAAAAAGAGGAUGGUACCCAACAAGGAAGUGACGGCUAACUACGUGCGUAGNNGCGNGUAUNGNGGCGGNGUGACGAGC
rnacentral:rRNA from 1 species